UAGUUCAGUGGUAGAACAUCACCUUGCCAUGGUGGGGGUCGCGGGUUCGAAUCCCG
rnacentral:tRNA from 1 species